rnacentral:rRNA from 1 species
GACGAACGCUGGCGGCGUGCUUAACACAUGCAAGUCGAACGGAAAGGCCCUGCUUGCAGGGUGCUCGAGUGGCGAACGGGUGAGUAACACGUGGGUGAUCUGCCCCUUAUUUUGGGAUAAGCCUGGGAAACUGGGUCUAAUACUGGAUAGGACCAUGCUGUAGGUGGUGUGGUGGAAAGAUUAGUUUCGGUAAGGGAUGAGCUCGCGGCCUAUCAGCUUGUUGGUGGGGUAAUGGCCUACCAAGGCGUCGACGGGUAGCCGGCCUGAGAGGGUGGACGGCCACAUUGGGACUGAGAUACGGCCCAGACGCCUACGGGAGGCAGCAGUGGGGAAUAGUGCACAAUGGGCGCAAGCCUGAUGCAGCGACGCCGCGUGGGGGAUGACGGCCUUCGGGUUGUAAACUCCUUUCAGCCAUGACGAAGCCCUUGUGGUGACGGUAGUGGUAGAAGAAGCACCGGCUAACUACGUG